rnacentral:tRNA from 1 species
UAUCAUUAAUUUUGGGAAAUGUCUUUGUUUUGAAAACAUAGAAAAAGUGUUCGAAUCACUUAAUGGUAU